rnacentral:lncRNA from 1 species
AUGCUUAACACGCCGGCAGUCCUACAAUCUAAGCUGGAUGCCCUCAAUCUCACACAAAUCAUUAAGGAACCCACCAGGUACAACCCUAAAUCUGUAAACAUGGGCACCCUCAUUGACAUUAUCCUGACCAACUUGCCCUCCAAAUACACCUCUGCUGUUUUCCAUCAGGAUCUCAGCGAUCACUGCCUCAUUUCCUGUAUCCGCUAUGGGUCUGCGGUCAAACGACCAUCCCUCAUCACUGUCAAACACUCCCUAAAACACUUAUGCGAGCAGGCCUUUCUAAUCGACCUAUCCUGGAAGGAUAUUGACCUCAUCCCGUCAGUCGAGGAUGCCUGGUCGUUCUUUAAAAGUAAUAUCCUCACCAUCUUAGAUAAGCAUUUAAAAAAAUGCAGAACUAAGAACAGAUGUAGCCCUUGGUUCACUCCAGACCUGACUGCCCUUGACCAGCACAAAAACAUACUGUGGCGGACUGCAAUAGCAUCGAAUAGUCCCUGCGAUAUGCAACUGUUCAGGGAAGUCAGGAACCAAUACACGCAGUCAGUCAGGAAAGCAAAGGCUAGUAUUUUCAAGCAGAAAUUUGCAUCCUGUAGCUCUAACUUCAAACAGUUUUGGGACACUGUAAAGUCCAUGGAGAACAAGAGCACCUCCUCCCAGCUGCCCACUGCACUGAGGCUAGGUAACACGGUCACCACCGAUAAAUCCACGAUAAUCGAAAAUUUCGAUAAGCAUUUCUCUACAGCUGGCCAUGCCUUCCUCCUGGAAACUCCAACCCCCGCCCGCAGCUACUCGCCCGAGCCUCCCCAGCUUCUCCUUCACCCAAAUCCAGACAGCAGAUGUUCUGAAAGAGCUGCAAAACCUGGACCCAUACAAAUCAGCUGGGCUAGACAACCUGGACCCUCUCUUUCUAAAACUAUCCGCCGCCAUUGUUGCAACCCCUAUUACCAACUUGUCCAACCUCUUUCGUAUCGUCCGAGAUCCCUAAAGAUUGGAAAGCUGCCGCGGUCAUCCCCCUCUUCAAAGGGGGUGGCAUUCUAG